CAGCCGCCGCGGGAAUACGAAGGGGGCUAGCGUUGCUCGGAAUGACUGGGCGUAAAGGGCGCGUAGGCGGUUUGUCGAGUUAGAUGUGAAAUUCCCGGGCUUAACCUGGGGACUGCAUUUGAUACUGGCAGGCUUGAGUGUGGAAGAGGGUCGUGGAAUUCCCAGUGUAGAGGUGAAAUUCGUAGAUAUUGGGAAGAACACCGGUGGCGAAGGCGGCGACCUGGUCCAUAACUGACGCUGAGGCGCGAAAGCGUGGGGAGCAAACAGGAUUAGAUACCCGUGUAGUCCCUGUCUCUUAUAA
rnacentral:rRNA from 1 species